AGAGUUUGAUCCUGGCUCAGGACGAACGCUGGCGGCGCGCCUAAAACAUGCAAGUCGAACGAGAAGCCCGAGCUUGCUCUGGUGGACAGUGGCGAACGGGUGAGUAACACGUGAGGAACCUGCCCCGAAGACCGGGACAACACCGGGAAACCGGUGCUAAUACCGGAUACCUUCACCGGAUCGCAUGGUCUGGUGAAGAAAUGGAUUCCGCUUCGGGAUGGCCUCGCGGCCUAUCAGCUAGUUGGUGAGGUAACGGCUCACCAAGGCGACGACGGGUAGCUGGUCUGAGAGGAUGUCCAGCCACACUGGGACUGAGACACGGCCCAGACUCCUACGGGAGGCAGCAGUUAGGAAUCUUGCGCAAUGGACGAAAGUCUGACGCAGCGACGCCGCGUGCGGGAUGAAGGCCUUCGGGUUGUAAACCGCUUUCAGCAGGGACGAAAUUGACGGUACCUGCAGAAGAAGCCCCGGCCAACUACGUGCCAGCAGCCGCGGUAAUACGUAGGGGGCAAGCGUUGUCCGGAUUUAUUGGGCGUAAAGAGCUCGUAGGUGGUUCGGUAAGUCGGAUGUGAAAUCUCCAGGCUCAACCUGGAGGGGUCAUUCGAUACUGCCGUGACUAGAGGUCGGUAGGGGAGUGUGGAAUUCCUGGUGGAGCGGUGAAAUGCGCAGAUAUCAGGAGGAACACCCGUAGCGAAGGCGGCACUCUGGGCCGAUACUGACACUGAGGAGCGAAAGCGUGGGGAGCGAACAGGAUUAGAUACCCUGGUAGUCCACGCCGUAAACGUUGGGCACUAGGUGUGGGACUCUAUCGACGGGUUCCGUGCCGUAGCUAACGCAUUAAGUGCCCCGCCUGGGGAGUACGGCCGCAAGGCUAA
rnacentral:rRNA from 1 species